rnacentral:lncRNA from 1 species
AGUGGACAUCCCUGCUCCCUCUUAUCUGCUGGCAAGGCCCAGAAGAUGAUAACAAAGGAAUUUCUGCUGAGAUCCCAGAGCCAGUAUCUGCCACUCCAAGGAGAGCUGACUCAACCACUUUGGACUUAUAAAUAAGUUUGUACUGCCAUUGCAGUUGUCGUUCUCACCGUGGACACCGUUGUCAAGAGAACAACAACGCCCGACAACCCACCACUACUGAAGAUCAAUGACUGGACUACGAACCACGUUGGACCAUGGUGUGUAAGGGCAUAAUAUCUGACCAGGAAGAUCAGUUGGUUAUCCUACGUACAGAAUGAGUUCGCAUCUUGUGUCAUGGUUUUAUGAUUUUUGGUCAUCAGUAUUCCACAUCACAACAUCAUGCAGUGUACUGGGAGUUAAAGAGCAAAUGCUUUAGUUCCGGGUACCUGUCUGGAAGAGAAGAAGAACUACGUUCCGCAAGAGCCUUUUUGAGUACUGUUAUCAUUCCUGCUCAGGGGAACAGAUAUAAGGACGCAGGUCAUCUGACUCGUCCCUCUUCUUGUCUUGCCAUGUUCCCUGCCAGAUCAGCUCGCUACUGCUGCUACCUGACUGCACGCAAGGCUUCAGUAUUAGCGUAAGGCCUUUGGCUGUUGGACAAUCUUUCUCUCAAUUAUUGUUGUUUUAUAUUGUAUUAUAGUGUGUUAUCUUACAUUCCGAUACUAUAUUUAGUAAAUUAGUUUGUUU